rnacentral:lncRNA from 1 species
CAUGAGGAACAUCUGCUUCCUGUCUUGCGUGAGAGUGUGGGACGGGGCUCGGGGUCUCGAAGCAUGUCUUCAGACUAAAUCGGAGCUGGCAACUCAUAGGACGACAUCAUCCUUCUGCUGUGUCCGGCUGUGCUCAAAGCUCGGUUUUCAACAUUUUUUCUUGGAGUUUCAUGGACUGUGCACGGAAGUUCGGAGGAUUUUGAAACUGUAACCUUAAGCCUUUCUGGGGGAUUAGUGUAGGCCCUGAUCAAAUGGGGAAAAUAUGAAUGAGACCGGGACAGUCAUCUCUGGCCCCACACAAGUGCUUUUUGUCUCUUUCCCUCCCUUGCUCCCUUCCUUCUCUUCCUCUUUUGUUCUUGACAGUGCAAUUUUGGCUUUGUUUGUAGCUUAGUCCUCCCUCAACUGACCUAAAGAUCUGUGAAAAACCACAGCUCUGGCUUCCCCUUCCUGUUUCCUGGGCUGCUGCUGCACCAAGCCCUGUAGAAGGAACUCUGAUCCGGCAGCUUAGGUCCACAGGAAGAGCCUGCGUCAGCAUCAGCAGACCUGCCUGCACGUCUCCUCUCUCACCUACGUUUCACCUUCCUCGUGUGCCAGAUGUGCAGACAGCGCCAGCCCUCCUCCCCAGCAAGGGCUGCUGUGAAGACGAAAGGCGAUCCUGGAGAGGCGAGGGUUUCGCCAACCAUCCGAGGCUGUGUAAUGCUGUGGUUACCCCUCCAAGUCAGAGCUCUUACCUGCACAGUGAAGUGGAGGACGAAGGAGCUUCAGCCCACCCCAUUGGGCCUCCAUAGAAGAGUGUUGAGCAAGAUAGGACUGAAGACAGAGCCCAGAGGUGUAUCCUAAAGACCUCCACUGUUAGUCGUAAGCACCAUAUCUGUCUUGUAUACUGCUGCACCCUGGUGCUCAACCUUGGUUGUAUAAUAAACUCCUCUUGCACGUGACCACCCUAUCGGACAAGCCAGGAGACCUUUUCAGAUUUGAUCCUAGUGGGCCAUGCUGGUUUUAGCGUUCACCACUUCCCCACUGUUGAAUAAAUGCUACUACUUAAUUAUCCUUUCAUUAUUUUUCCUGGAGACCGGCAGUUUUAGAAUCUGCCUCGUGACCCUUUCUGGAAAGAUGAGCAUUGCCCUUUCCAUCUCCUCUCCAGGUCUCAGUUCUAACAGGGAUGUUAGAGAUGCCCAC